UACGUAGGUGGCAAGCGUUGUCCGGAUUUACUGGGCGUAAAGAGCGCGCAGGCGGUCGUACAAGUCGCGUGUGAAAGCCCCCGGCUCAACUGGGGAGGGUCACGCGAUACUGUUCGACUCGAAGGCAGGAGAGGGAAGCGGAAUUCCCGGUGUAGUGGUGAAAUGCGUUGAUAUCAUCAGGAACACCGGAGGCGAAGGCGGCUCACUGGGGGUCUUCUGACGCUGAGGAACGAAAGCCAGGGGAGCGAACGGG
rnacentral:rRNA from 1 species